GGGAGCCCACAAACGAGUGCAGGCGAGGUUGCAUCAGGACGGCGGCGAGCUCUUCUUCGAGGGCGAGUGCCAUCAACCGAGAACUGCAAGGCCAAUGACGAAGGUCGCAACCACAUCGUGAACCUGGAGUAGCAGUGUUGCUUCAUCUCGCUCUAAUCCUAUGGGAUAACUGGAAACCAUUUUGAACCGAAGAUAAUUCUGCCACCUCUAACAAACAAGGCUAAUUGGGAGAUUAACCCACUUGAAUUGGACUUCACAAAAGCAGCUAUCAUUGGAAAGCUUUCAAGUCUUGAAGCAUCUCUUAGGCUCUUACUCAAUGCAAUUAUUUGAUAGAAAUUAGCUUAGUUUACUGAUUUUGGUAUUAUCCAUUAUGACUGCUGAUAAUUGCUCAUAGUCAUUUGUAAAGAAGAGCUUAGAAUCAUGAUCAGUGAAGCUAAAGCUUGAACGAGUGGAUUGUUUUGUUCUCUGUCUAACUAGAAAUAAUGGUAAUAUUUGUUGAUGAGUGAUUGAUUGCCUGUAAUCUUGAACUCUUGAACUGCAUUGCAGUUUAGAAUUGUCACCAAAGUGUUAUGUGGCAUGGUUCUAGUCGAUGAGCAAUAGGAAGAAUAAUAUGGAUAGUGUUAUUUUGAUUUAUAUGAGUCCUUUGGUGUGAAUUGAUCGAAAGACAAGAAAAUGACUACGAGUGUAACCCUCUAAACUAAGUUUAGUUUCAUGCUUGGCAGUCCAUUGUGGUGGUUCUUUACAUAGCUUAUUAUAGAUGAGAAUAAGAUGACCAGUGUAUUUAUUUAUCCUCUUUUGCAUGUUCAGCAGAUUAUUUUUUGGCAUCAAACUUCUGCUUGUGCUGAAGCUGCAGUGCCAGAGCUUCAAGCACUACUCUUAGCACACCCGAUUAAGAGGUGCAAGCACUUCAAAAUCGGUGGAGAGAUAAGAAGGGCAAAGGAACAUCUCUCUUCUAAUCUGAUGAUAGGCAUGUUCUCCCACUGUCAAGUUGUCUGUCGAAAGUUAACUAUUAAGAUGUUUUAUCUUAUUUUUGUCUUGAGAUGCGUCAGGUGGAUUAUCUCUCCGGGAUAGUGCAAUAUACCCUAUAAUUAUCGUCUGCAAGUGC